rnacentral:tRNA from 2 species
UGGAGCAUAGCCAAGUAGGUUAAGGCAUCGGUCUUUGAUACCGACAUUCUCUGGUUCGAAUCCAGAUGCUCCGGCCA